GAUGAACGCUGGCGGCGUGCCUAAUACAUGCAAGUCGAGCGAACAGAUGAGGAGCUUGCUCCUCUGACGUUAGCGGCGGACGGGUGAGUAACACGUGGAUAACCUACCUAUAAGACUGGGAUAACUUCGGGAAACCGGAGCUAAUACCGGAUAAUAUAUUGAACCGCAUGGUUCAAUAGUGAAAGACGGUUUUGCUGUCACUUAUAGAUGGAUCCGCGCCGCAUUAGCUAGUUGGUAAGGUAACGGCUUACCAAGGCAACGAUGCGUAGACGACCUGAGAGGGUGAUCGGCCACACUGGAACUGGGACACGGUCCAGACUCCUACGGGAGGCAGCAGUAGGGAAUCUUCCGCAAUGGGCGAAAGCCUGACGGAGCAACGCCGCGUGAGUGAUGAAGGUCUUCGGAUCGUAAAACUCUGUUAUUAGUGAAGAACAAAUGUGUAAGUAACUAUGCACGUCUUGACGGUACCUAAUCAGAAAGCCACGGCUAACUACGUG
rnacentral:rRNA from 1 species